rnacentral:sRNA from 1 species
CCUGUUAUAUCAUUUGGAUGGCCUGCUUUAUCGAUAGAAGCCCCUUCAACCAUUAAGAAAAAGCCUUUAUCAUUUCCUUUUAAUUUACUUAUAGCAUUAUC